AUUCUGGGAUGGGAAUAGAACCCACAGUGUUCCGCUUACCGGGCAGACGCCAUGUCCACUAGGCUACCUGGAC
rnacentral:tRNA from 1 species